rnacentral:rRNA from 1 species
AUUGAACGCUGGCGGCAGGCCUAACACAUGCAAGUCGAGCGGAUGACGGGAGCUUGCUCCUGGAUUCAGCGGCGGACGGGUGAGUAAUGCCUAGGAAUCUGCCUGGUAGUGGGGGACAACGUUUCGAAAGGAACGCUAAUACCGCAUACGUCCUACGGGAGAAAGCAGGGGACCUUCGGGCCUUGCGCUAUCAGAUGAGCCUAGGUCGGAUUAGCUAGUUGGUGAGGUAGUGGCUCACCAAGGCGACGAUCCGUAACUGGUCUGAGAGGAUGAUCAGUCACACUGGAGCUGAGACACGGUCCAGACUCCUACGGGAGGCAGCAGUGGGGAAUAUUGGACAAUGGGCGAAAGCCUGAUCCAGCCAUGCCGCGUGUGUGAAGAAGGUCUUCGGAUUGUAAAGCACUUUAAGUUGGGAGGAAGGGCAGUAAGCGAAUACCUUGCUGUUUUGACGUUACCGACAGAAUAAGCACCGACUAACUCUGUGCCAGCAGCCGCCGCAGUAA